rnacentral:rRNA from 1 species
UACGUAGGGGGCAAGCGUUAUCCGGAUUUACUGGGUGUAAAGGGAGCGUAGACGGCAUAGCAAGUCUGAAGUGAAAGCCCGUGGCUCAACCGCGGAACUGCUUUGGAAACUGUUAAGCUGGAGUACUGGAGAGGCAAGCGGAAUUCCUAGUGUAGCGGUGAAAUGCGUAGAUAUUAGGAGGAACACCAGUGGCGAAGGCGGCUUGCUGGACAGGGACUGACGUUGAGGCUCGAAAGCGUGGGGAGCAAACAGG